UUUCAUGUGGGAAUUGCAGGAGGAAAGGUUGGAUCCAUGGUCACUAACCUAAGGAUUACCAGAAUGUGAUUUGGAUUUUAUGGCCAACAUCUGAAGAGCAGGACAUGCUGCACCACAGAAGCAUUAGUAGAAAGUCAUGGAGAGGGCCUGGACUUGCACACAGCCUCAACCUUAUCCCCAGGAACCUGAGCACGCAGUGGCUGGAGAAGAGCCACCUUCUCUCCACUGCGUGGGUGAGAAGCUGAAUUUCUGUCGCCUUGUCAGCACCACCCUGA